UUAGAAUUAUGCUGAUUUUUCAGGAAAACAAUUUUCUAGUUGUAUAGAUAUCCCUGCACAGCAAUAGGCUUUUUAUUGGAGAAGGGAAUCAGGAAUGACAACAGAGGUUUCUCAAUGCUUUAUAGAUAACUUGUGGACAAGUUAGCCUCUUUGUGCCUCAGUUUUCACAUCUACAAAACAGCAAUAGCAGCAGAUCGUCUCUCAUGGGGUUUGGGUGAGGAUUAAAUGAAAUAAUUCACUAAAAACAGUGGCAUCUAGUAAGGGCUUACUAAUAACUAUUAUGAUAUUUUCUAUGAAUAACUGAAUUGAGUCAGAGAGAAGUGCUUUGGCUAAGCUACUUGGUAGCAGUAUCAGAAUUAGAGACCAGUUCCUCCAAUUUUUAAUUCAGUAUCCUUUCUUUCAUCACAUGUGUUUUUAAACAACUUAUUAUGUAUUUUCUAGUACAUAUUAACAUUUCCUCUUGCAAGACAUAGCACACUUACUGUUACAGUACAAACAUACUUCCACAAUGGUUUCCUUUGGAAAAACAAUUUUGAUUGAUUUCUUUUACUCCGUAAUAUAUCACAUUUAGAGUGAGAGUACUGCUCGCUUAGAAAAAAGCAAGACUUUCAAUUUUCAGGUCUUCAGCCACUGACAUGGCAAUCUGACUUUAAGCCAUAUGAAAUUACACAUGACAUUUAGAAUUGAAUAACCAUACUGAUUGCUUCUUUGUGUCUGUGGAGAAAAUAACAUUUAUUUUGACCAAAUGUUAUCUUUUCUCUUUUUCAUCAAAUAAAUCAUACUUAGGAGUGGAGCACUUCUGUUUUUCUUUAUGAUUCAUUGAUCAACCGUGAAAGAACAAACACAUCAAAUGCUGAAACUUGGGUUACAGUCCAUUGGUGAUUCUCUCCAGGACACUGCGGUCUCCCAAAGAAUCAUAGGCUUAAAGAGAUGGCAGAGAUUUCAGAGAUUCUUUAGCUAAACCCCUUGAUCUUUAUAGAUGAGAAAAUUGAGCUCAGAGAGGUGACAUGACUUGCAAAGUCAUCCAGCUAGUUGGUGGCAAAGAGGGAUUUCAAACCUUCUUUUUUCUGACUUUCAGUCCCCAUUGCAUCAUGUCCUGCACCAACUCAUGUCCUGCACCAACUCAUGUCCUGCACCAACUCAUGUAUUUCUAAAAAGCCUUUCUGUAUUAUCAGGUGUUGGCAAACAGCCACAGGCCAUGUCCAGCUUGCCACUUGUUUGUGCAAAUAAAGUUUUAUUGGAACACAGCCAUGUUCAUUUGUCUACUUAUUGUCUAUGGUUGUUUUCUCGCUACAGUGGCAGAAUUGAGUAGUUGCAUCAGAGUCGCUCUAACGUCUGGCCCUUCACAGAAAAAGUUCGCCAACCCUUGUUGUAUAUCAAGCUUGACUGAAAUUCUCUUUUUUUUUUUUUUUUUUUUUUUUUUUUACUCUUUUUGUAUCAGACCCUAUUGUCAAAAGUUGAAGAAAGUGCAGUUGGGUAGAGAAUUAUGGGAAAGAAGAAAGAGGAAGAAAAGAACUAACAUUGCUAACAUUUAUUUAUCUGAGACAGGAUAAUAGAGGCUUUAUAUAUGUCAUCUCAUUAAGUUCUCAAAAAGAUGCUGGAGACUGAUAUUUUCAGCCCCAUUCUGUAAAUAAGAAAACAGGCUCAGAGAGGUAAGAGUUAAGUUGCUAGGUUUAUGCCACUAACAAUUAGCAGAAUGAGGAUUUGAAUCCAGCCUUCUCCAUUUGAAGAUUCUAUAAUUCUUUCAAUUAUAUCAUGUGGUUGUUGUAGUCAGGGUUACCUUUCAUUUUCUUAAAAAAGUGCUAUACUAUCCUCCAAAUUGAAAUAGUUUAAUUAAAAAAUAAUAUUUGGUACGAAAUAAUAUUUAAAAAGCAAGUAACUAUAGGUUAACAUUAUAUAAUUCAUGGUGUUGCCAUGGGUUAUGUUUUUGUUUGGGUGCUUGUUUAUACAAGUAAGUGAGUUGGACUGCAGAUGAUGAGAACAAUACAUUUCUUGACAAGAAAUUUGCAUUUUGCAUUAUUGGAGAAACUUAAUGGCUCAGCAACAGGUAGAAUCAAAGUCCUGUAUGUAUGUUCACACAGAUAAUUACAUAGAUAACAUGUAAUGUGUUUUUAUUUAAUCAGCAAUCCCCCCUCUCCAAGGCUUGCCACAAUUCUCUAAACCAGUGGUUAACAAACAGACCUAAUCAUCUGCAUCACCCAUGAAGUUCCUUAGGGUGCAGAUUUCCAGGACCUUCCCGCCACCUACCUAAGUCAGUAUAUCUGAGUUUAGGUUUGGGCGUCUGUAAUUUUAUUUUAUUGUUUAACCUCUGGAGAUGGUUCUGAUGAUCAGCCAGCUUUGGGAACCAUUACCCUAGAGAACCAGUGAGCAGGCAAGGCCCUGCGUCUUUGUCUCAGUCUUUCCUGGUCCUCCUCUAAGUCCUCUAAACCUGUCCACCACCUGAGCCCUACGCUUUGGUCAGUGUGCGUGCUCUUCUCUGUGAAAAAAGGGUGCUCUAUGAAAUUGCCUUGGGCAGUACCUUUCUGCCUCUGUAAGAUUAACAGAGCACAUUUCACAAUGGAUUUCUCAAGAAAUUUAACUUAACAUUCAUUUAAAUCAAAGUGAAUAAGCUGCAAUUAAAUAAGCAUUUCCCAUCCAAGUGAAAUGGACCCUAAUGAGCUAGUCUAAAUCCUGUUUUCAAGAUCAAAAUUGCCUUUGGUGACAGCACUGCUUUCCAGUCUGUCCUUCCAACAUGGAAGAGCACUUCAGACUGAGGGCAAACCUGCCUAACAGAUAAAGACAGUGUGUCCUGUGACUCGUUAAAAGUGAUAUGGGGGCUGGGCAUGGUAGCUCACGCCUGUAAUCCCAGCAUUUUGGGAGGCCAAGGCAGGUGGAUCACCUGAGAUCAGGAGUUUAAGACUAGCCUGGCCAACAUGGUGAAACUCCAUCUCUACUAAAAACACAAAUACAUAUAUAUAUAUAUAUAAGCUGGGCGUGGUGGCAGGCGUCUGUAAUCUCAGCUACUUGGGAGGCUGAGGCAGGAGAAUUGCUUGAACCUGAGAGGCGAAGAUUGCAGUGAGCCAAGAUCACACCAUUGCACUCCAGCCUGGGUGACAGAGUGAGACUCCAUCUCCAAAAAAAAAAAAUAAUAAAAUAAUAAAAAUAAAAUUGAUUUGGAGUAUAGUUAAAGAAGAAAAGGGGCCCAAAUAUAUAUUUUAACAAGAAUUGUAUAUAAUUUUAAUGCACAUGGUCCGUAGGCCACCCUGUCAUAAAUACCAGCCAGGGGAUUUGCUAAAAGAGGAGAAAACAAAAUAGAGGCAGGUAGAGGGCAGAAGUGCAGGCGGUGGUAAGAAGAAACAAGGAGCUGCUAGGACUGGGUUUCAGAAAGAGUUCUUUAAUAAGGGAGCAGGGAGAAAAGAG
rnacentral:lncRNA from 10 species